rnacentral:lncRNA from 1 species
CUUGUUGAAAAUUCCACCAAACCUAGGACUCUGGAGAUAGGAAGAAACAAAGAUUCAACAUUUAUGUAACUGGUACAUGGUGCACUAGUGCUGAGAUGUGAACCCAGGGGUAUCCAAGCUCUGAACCACCACCCUGCAGCACUUCCUUAGGAUGGGGGUAACAGUAAGGGUAUUAACCUACACCCGUAGGGUUGUUGUGAGAGGUAAGGGGUCCACGUGUCUGGCAAUGAGCACGUCUCAGUAAAUGGUAGUCUCUCUCUCAGCGUGGCUCCCAUGGCCGCCACUCUGAGCCAGACACUUUCCUGGAAACAGAUGAGGACUCAGUCCAGUCCUUUGGAAGCUCGUAGGUCGUGACCCAGAGGGUUCCAUGGCCCUGUCCCUGACCUUUCACCCUCCAGGUUUGAUCUCCAGGCUUAGCUGUGCGUCACUUCCUGCCAGGAAGUCUGGGACUCUGUGCACCAGAGUGUUUUCGGAGAAGGAUACUAGGAUUACACACCCCUCCAAAUGAUCCUCAGCUCAACUCCAUUUGGCUCUUUGAGAGGGCCCCCCAAAACCUGGAUCCUCCCCUGUCCCCUGCCCUCGGGGAGCUGCCCAGAUCCACAGCCACCCUUGGAGCACAGCCAGCCAGAAAGGCGGAAUUGCAGAUGGCAGAGCUGUGUGCAGCUGUGGGACUCCUCAAAGCCGUCUUGGGUUAUAUUCCUGGAAAAGGCACUGCAGGACAAAAAGAAGAAGCUGAUCUUGCUCCUUUUCCACGGAUUGAGCUUUAGAACAUUCUGGGGCUGCCGGAUGCUGUUCAGUGGGUGCUGAGGGGUAGAGACCCUACGGUCUCCCACCGCGAGCCUCGCUGUCCUCCUGCUGCCAGAUUUGCCAGAGAGAAUGCUUGAUGCCGCCGGGCCCUCCCGCCAGGCAGACCUCUGACAAAGUCACCACCAGAGGGGACUUUCAGCCAGGGCUGGCUCCAGUCAGCUUCUGAAACAAGAGGUGCUUUCUUCCUUGCACAACCUUCAGAGAAAAGGGGAACAACUUGACAUCCCAAAGGGCUUCUUGGAAGCAGGGGACAAGGUUAAUCAAGGAAAGAUGGGGCAGGAGGCAUCGAGGGCCCCCUGACUGGUGCUCUGAAGCUUGUGCUUUUUGACUUUGGCUGGGAGAGGGGCAACCAUUUAAGAAAGUGGGUAGGAACAGGGUGAAUAUGGUAUAAUGUAAAUAUAAUGUUUUUAAUUGUUUUCUUUUCACUGGAACUUUCUUUGUGAUAAGUAUAAAAAUAGCACACACACCUUCAGAGAUUCUGCUGCAUCUUGCCCCAGAACGUUGCCCUCUUUGAGAAUUAUUGUUUUUCUGUGUAUCUGCACUAGCUAAGACCAUUUUAUCAAGCCCGACUUACUCUAGUUUUUAUUAUAAAAAAUAAUUUUUAUUUUCCAAAUACAGAAUUAUAGUAUCAUUUGGAUAUGCUUUUUCAAUCUCUGUGUAAAUCCCAAAUUGGAGAUUAAGCUCCCCCAUCCCUCCCCAUUGGAGAAUCACUGAAUCACUGCCCUAAUAUCCAGCACGAGAAAGCAGAAAGCAUUGGCCGUGCUGGGCCGGGACUCUUCCAGGACCCAGUUGUCUCUUGGCCGAGUCGCUCUCCCCAUCCCUCGACAUCAGGGUCUUCUUUGGUCAUUGGGCCCACAGUAAGAAAUUCAGUAAGUAUACGUUGCAUGAAUCUUACACUAUUGAAUUAUCAUCACAUGCUUGGCACAGUGCUAGCACCUGGUGUGUGCCAAGGUACACCUAAGUGUUAGCUGUUGUUCCUAAGCUCCCCGACACGCUGCCUCCUCCACGUGUCCUGUAGUCUGCCCUCUGUUAGGAAGCUCUGGCAGCAAAGAUGCUAAUUUCUUAAGGUGCCCUGGAACAGCUCUCAGCAUCCUCUGUUCCGCAGAACUAUGUGUCACCUCCAGAUGGUGACCAACUGUCCAGAUACCGGCUUCUUUAGGUCAUGUCAGAAGCCUAGUACAGUGCUCACACACAGGAGGGCUCACCGAAUGUUUGUUGAGGGCGUGAGUGGCAGGCCCGGUGCCCUCCACU